CGCAGGGUAGAGCAGUCUGGUAGCUCGUGGGGCUCAUAACCCCAAGGCCGCAGGUUCAAAUCCUGUCCCUGCAA
rnacentral:tRNA from 1 species